CAAUUUCCUUAUUCUUCCUGUCACAUUGCAAGCACGCCUCAUCCUGAGGCAGAAAAGUCCCAUGGCUAGAAUCAGUAGCAUAGUCUUCAGUCCCAGGCAGCACAGACCAAUGGCUGGAAACAGUGUCAAUAGCUUGCAGUCCAGGGCCGUACAGCCUAAUGGCUAGAUUCAGUAGUAAUGAUAGCCCUUAGUUCAGGGCAGCACGGACUAAUGGCUGAGUCAGUAGUUUGGGACAGUAGGCCUAGUGGGAGGGCAGGACCCACCCUACUCCACUGGGCCUCAACCCAGGGCCCUGUUAGUAGCAAAGUGCUUGUCCACUUGCUCAAUGGGGAAUCUGACUGCAACACACUGACCUCACUGGGGUGGGAGAUAUCACUCACUUACCCUCCCUGGGUCACUUCCUACCAGAGUCGGCAUAGGGCACUCCACAUAGUAUCUGAAUCCUCUGGCUCCUGUCAUCCAGGUCUUGGGCUGGGGUACCUCUGGAGUUCUUGUAGUAGGUCCUCCUCCAAUGUACAGCCCAGAUUAAGCUGAGAUGCUCCCUUUUAUACUGAUCCUGUACUUGGAGCAUGUCCAGUGCAGCUGAGGGGGGACUUCUUCCCUUCACAGGGCAUUAAGCUCUCCUGGUGGAGGGUAUGCAUACCCCAUCACACCUCUCUGUGCCAAAAAUCUGCUAUUUUACUUUUUAGUAAAAAUGGAACCCACAUCUUCCUAUGUAAAUGGCAGUAGCUCAAAUCAGCAUUAACCUGUCAUCUGCUGAACACAGUUCUGUGAAUACACUAUCUGAGGCUGCAGGGUUUUCAGGGAGACAGAAAAGAAUCUGUUUUUGCAGUGAGAGUUGCUUCCUGGUCUGAAAAGCACAGUUAGAUUUUUAGUGAAUCUGAGGUAUGAGACUAGUAAAACUUUGGACUUCAGCAAAUGCAAAAACCUUUGAAAAGCUGGAAGCUCAGGAGAAUCUGUGGAGCAGCAAACAAUGCAGAAAACUAUGUAAGAGGCUGAAAAGCAAAAACAGGAAGACCUGAGAUAAGAAUCACACCCUUGCAACUCACUAGUGCCCAGUGCAAAGCCUACUUGUGCAUCAGGAUGGUCUGAUGAGCCAAGGUGGAAAACUGCUGGCUCUUGGAUCUAGGCUGGGAACUGCAUGCAGUGAGCAGCCUGCUCCCAGCCAAUAUUGUGAACUGACCCUUGCAAUAUCAGUCCCAUAGCUGUCUGUGGAUCAUACUCAACAGAAAAAUAUCAGUCCCCACUCAGAGGAGAUGUUUUAUUCCCCCACCCCACCCACAGCACCCAAGGAGCAGCCUGGAGCCAAGUUUGUUGAGAAGGAAAAAGAGAAAGAGCACACCCGAGAGACUGUGUGAGCUAAUCUUUUCCACGGUGGAUGAAGGCUGUGGAUCUCAGAGUUCUGCAUGCAACAAUGACAGGAGAUGCUUUAAACAGCCACCCUUCUGGUUCUUGUCCUGUUGUAGGACCCUAAAUCUGCACUGGCUGCUGCACUUCAGGGACAGCAUUCCUGGCCUUAUGUGCCCCCCAGGGCCCUUCCAAAAGGAGAUGUUUCUGUUAAGAACUCAUGGACAAUGCUCUUAAGAGGGCAGAUCAGCAGUUGCAGCAAUAGAAUGAACUGGAGAAAAGACAGGAAAAACAGUACACUCUGGUCAUCUGAAGAAGUGGGCUGUGCCCACGAAAGCUCAUGGUACCAUCUAUAUGUGUUGUUAGUCUAUAAAGUUCUACCAGACCAUUUGUUGUUUUUUAAGUUUAUCUUGUACAGACUAACACCACUACCCCUUGAAGUAUACUGAGUGACAGACAUAGUCUCACCAUCCAGCUGGAGAGAGGGAGCAGGCACUUGGAUCAUGAACAGAAGCUAAGAGAGGAGGACAGAGUCUAACAGGAGUUGCUGGAAUAGUUCUCUGUUAAUAAUGGCUGCCUGUUGCCAGGGUACAGGGCGCUGCUGCCACUCUCACACCAUGGCAUGAUGCCCUGCAACAAACUGCCAGCCCAGCAGCAGCUUACCCAGCUUCAUGUUGGGAGAGAGCUAUGCAUUCUGGCCUCAUGAGAUGUUGGGGAUGGUGCAGCUGUCUUCUCUCCCUUGAAAACCUUCUCCCCUCACCGUAGUCCCACAACAAAGCAAGGGCAAAGCAGGGAAAGCAGAAAUUGAGGGAGGGGCCAUACUGUGAGAGGUAUGAAUUAUUUCCUGUCCUUAUUUUUGGUUUUGUAAGGGCAGAUGGCCUGCCCAACAAUUGAUGUGUUUACUGUUU